AUUCUCAUUACAUUGACAGAUAUGGUGCUUUUGCUAGCGUGUAACGUUCGUCUGCCGACGUGUCAUGUUUACAAAAGGUAUGCCGCUGCAUCUGGCAAACUGUCAGUGAAUGGGUGUGACAAGGAAAUCUGUGAGGUAAUUUAGUUCCUUACGGACAUCAGCGCACCUGGACAAACAAAGCACUUGCCUCUUGUGAUAACCUCCAAGCUGAUUCAGUCAGUUAGUUAUACAUUGCUAGAGAGACGAAAGCUGUCUGCCACACUUUGACAAACAGGUUUACACAUUCAGUACACCCAGUAUGCCCAAGCUAUUGCUCAGAGGUUAGUUCUGUUGCUGGAUCUGGGAGUUUUUAUCCUUUAUGAUGGACCACAUGAGGAGAAUAGGGAUGCAGUGGAGGCAUAAUUGCUGAAAUACGUCCGACUGGACUUGGCGUGGUUUUGCUUCAGUAAGAGUUGGUGCAUUCACUAGGAUGAUGGAAGGUUGCAUUCUCCCCAGAUAAGUUUUGUGGUCACUGUAACCAUGUGGACAUUGGAGCGAUCAUGCGCUUCAGUCAUGCAGACAUCAUGGCUGCUGCUGCUACUACUGGCUGCCUUUCUCAGGCCAGUCCACUGCAUGUCUCGGGAGGAGAGACAUAAGCUAAGGGAUCAGGUGGUUGAAAUGUUUGACCACGCUUAUAGUAAUUACAUGAACCAUGCUACCC